rnacentral:rRNA from 1 species
UACGGAAGAUCCGAGCGUUAUCCGGAAUUACUGGGCGUAAAGAGUUGCGUAGGUGGCAUGUAAAGCGAGUAGUGAAAGACUCCGGCUCAACCGGAGGUACAUUAUUCGAACUCACAAGCUAGAGCAUAGUAGAGGUACCUGGAAUUCCUAGUGUAGGAGUGAAAUCCGUAGAUAUUAGGAGGAACACCGAUGGCGUAAGCAGGGUACUGGGCUAUUGCUGACACUAAGGCACGAAAGCGUGGGGAGCGAACGGG